rnacentral:RNase_P_RNA from 3 species
CAGGUACAACAGAUAGUGACUUGAUAUAUUCAAGAGGAAAGUCCGAGCUGCUAUAAGACAGUGUUCCAUUUAACUAAUGGCCGUAGUAAUACGAGGGAAAGUGCAACAGAGAGCAGACUGCCGCUUUGCGGUAAAGGUGAAAGGGCGGUGUAAGAGACCACCAGUCUUUAUAGUAAUAUAGAGAGCUUGUAAACCCAACAUGGCAGCAAGAAACAGAUGGUCAGCGUCUUAUAAUGCUAUUGUUUCGCUAGAGUUAUUAUGUAAAUAAUAAAGUAGAUUAAUGCUAUCAAAACAAAACUCGGCUUACAGUUGUACCUGUCUU